CUUUAUUUUGGUUGAGCACUGAGAGACGGAACAGAACCAGCAUUGCAAAGAGCCGGGAGUGGAGGAAAAGUUGAGGAACUGGGGUUUAUGGCCAAAGCGGUGUGGCGUCCAGCAACCCUGUGCUGGUCUUUGUAAAAUGGGAGAAUGAUGGUGGAGGUCCCGAAGAUGACGGUAAGCAGUUUAUAGGAUGUUCUAAGUGGGAAGGGAAGACCUUGGUGGGUUAUAAGGAAAGCAUGGCUUUCCUGACACUCAUUCUAGCUGCCAUGUGGGGAGAUGCAGAGAAUGGGUGGUGGGAAGUAAUACCCAGUAAAUCGGGGACUGUAGGGGACAUGCUGGCAACAGUAGGCUACGUGGGCGAGGAUGGUAGACCUGCCCGGAGUAACGGCACAAGAAAGGCCAAAGAACGCCAUGACUGAGGAAGCCAGCUGGUGUGGGUGGAGGCAGUCUCCCGUAUAUUUGAGACCCAUAUUGGCAAUGGGAGUAACCAGACUUGCUGGUCAUUGAUUGUGGGCUGGGGUGCAGAAGAACGGACAGGAUGCUCAUCACUGAUGACUUCUUGUUUUCUUGUUUGAGCCACUGGAGGGAUGCUGGUGCCGUUUGCAAAGAUGGUGCUCGAGGGAAAAACCUACACACGGCAGGCUCUGAGUUCGAGAUGCUCUCACCAAGAGACCCAAGUGGAAAUGCCAAGGGAAGGCUGGAUGUGAGGACCCCGUUGGUCUGGAGAUGAGAAAGAAGCUGUUGGGGAGACUGGUUCCAGCCACCCCUGUUGGUUUCCUUGAUCAUGUCCUGUGCUAGUUCAAACUGGCUCUUGCCUUCUGAGGACAUGAAUUCAACAAGUUCACUCUUUAUUUCUCCUCUGAGGCUCCAAGAACGCCAACCGAUGCUCCUUUUAAGAACAGAGUAAAUUCAAUGUCAUUUGCCGUCUGUGCUGAUAAAGUUAUUACCUAACUUUAGGUACUUCAAAGAACUUGCCAUGAUAUUCAUGAUAAAGAGGUCCUGUUAGUGCUACCAGAAAAAAACCCUUGUGAAAGAGGCAAGUAAAUACAAUUCAGAACAGACAACGACCUCCAAACCCAACUUCAUCGCAUGGAAUUGAGAUUCCAGAGGAGUAGAAAGUAACCAGAGGCAGAGAACCAUUUCUUAUGCGUGAUUCCAGCGCUCAAGAGGAUGAAAGAAUUCUUAUUUACACGACUUAUGACCACAUCUGUUUUGAUGUCAUUAUUUUAGCUCAUGAAUUCAAGGCAGCUCGGAAGCCGAUCUUUCACCUGUUUUAUAUAUUCAUUCAACAAACACUUAGGAGAGUGUGCUAAGGACUUGAACAGUUCCUACCUAAUGAACGCUGGGAGAAGUGAGUUUCCAUAGGAUGCAAGGUGGAUGGACAUAUAGUUACACCCUCCUGGCUGUCAAGUGGGUUUUGGACUAAACAAGAGUGGGUCUUGAGGAGAUGCCAAUGAGAAAGGCAUUGUAAUCAGGAAAGUAAGAGAUGAUAAAACCUUCAAUCUGGCCCCUGGCACCAGAGCUGGAAGGGUUUAGGGAAAGUGCCGAUGAAGCCCAGACAUACACAGUAUCACUUCAAAACGGCCACACAGCCUCUUCCUCUUUUCCAGGAGAGGUUUCUGCAUCAAGGGACCAAGGAGACGGGUGUAGCUAAAAACUUAAAAGGCAGGAGUUCCAAGAAAGUGUUUGUAUGAAUUUCCUGGGGCGGCUGUAACAAAAACAGCCACAAACCGUUAGCUUAAAACCACAGGCCUCCAUCCUCCCCCAUCCUGGAGACCAGACAUCUGAGGUCAGGGUGUCCCAGGGCCGCGCUCCCUCCAGAGGCUCCAGGGGAGGGUCCUUCCUGCCUCUUCCAGCUUCUGGGGGCUCCAGGCGUCCCUGGGCUUGUGGCUGCAUCCCUCCCAUCUCUGCCUCCGUCUUCCCGGGGCUUCUCCUCUGUGUCUGUGUCUCUGCUCUUCUGUCUCUUAGAAGGACCCUGUCAUUGGAUAUAGGGCCACCCUCCUCUAGAUGACCUCAUUUCAAAAUCCUUCACUUUAUUCCAUCUGCAAAAAUCUUUUUUCCAAAUAAAGUCACUUUCAAAAGUUCUGGGCUUAGAACCUGGACAUAUUUUUUUAGGAGUCACCAUUCAAACCACUGCAGUUUCCAUAUUAGGUAUUUGCCUGGCGGCCAGUGGAUUAAGGUGGGUUUCUGUGUGUUUUUAAAGGUUGAACAGGCAGCAAUAAUAAUAAUGUUAUUCCUGACAUACGUCUUGGUAUGUUACCACAAUAAAAUUUCCCUAGAUUUGCUUAAUGAAUCUUUACAAUAAACAGCAAGGAAUCGA